GUAGGUGAACCUGCGGAAGGAUCAUUAUUGAAUAAACUGGGUUUAGAUUGUUGCUGGCUCUACGGGGCAAUGUGCACGUCUAUUCCUAUUUUGACAACCACCUGUGCACUCUUGUGUAGAUCUGAAUAACUUUCGAGGUCAACUCGGUCUGAGAAAUUGCUGUGUAAUGUUCCCAGCUUUUCUUUGUUUUCAGAUCUAUGUUUCACUAUACUCCAUAUAAAGUAUUUGAAUGUAAAAGCUGUACAUGCCU
rnacentral:misc_RNA from 1 species